UCUCGUCCGCACCUCACCCGAUGGGGCCGCGACGCAGAGAGAGCGGUUCUGCGCAUGCGCCGCGCCUCAGCGCCUGUGGCGUCAUGACGUCACGCCGUGCGUCCCGAAGCCGUGCCCUUACCAGCUUGGGGGCGUGUCUCAAUCAACCAAUGGGAGUUGGGAAAGCGGCGCCAUGGGGGUGUGGCCAAGGGAAGCAACCAAUGAGGAGGCGCGUGGGCGGGGCUAGACGCAUUGCGUCACUUCCUGGCGCUUAAUCCGGCCUUGUCGCCUUGGCAACGGGAUGGCGGCGGCAGAGGCGAGCUCUUCGCUAUGGCUGCAGGCCCACGACGACCCCAUGGCCGGGCUGCGAUCGUUCCCCGGCUGCAUGGCGCUGGUUGAUGUGCAUGGAGAUGGGGACCAUAAG